CAUGGCCCUUGAGACCUGUGUACCUGCUUGCCUUUCUCAAGCACACCUGUUUUGCCUCUAAUUCCUAGGUGGUCUGGCAUGGAAGAAGGCCAGAGGCUGCGAUGGAUCAUCUUUGUCUUGGGAGAUUCCUGGAGAUGGUGGGGAGCCCCUGGGCACGUGCAGCAUAUGUGGCGUGGGCUUCUUCAGGUGCUGGUGGAUCCCUCAGGAUGGUAAAUGUCCAUUUUCCAAAAUCUUCUGAUAUUCCAUCUUUGUAGGUACAAAGACUGUGCAUGGAUCGAUGAUGACUUUUAUACAUGCAUUCCUUGGAAAGCUGAACAAAAUGAGUGAAAACUCUAUACCGUCAUCUUCGUUGAACUGAGGUCCAGCACAUUGCUCCAACAGUGGGUAGAUAGAGAGGGAAAACUUCCAUUUGUUGACGCAGGUUCCAUUGAGGGGUUUGUCCAGGCUUAGGAUGGGGUCCCCUUUGGGCAAAGGGAGUCACAGGGGAGUGCGGCCUCCUGUGCACAGGAGAUUCCUUGUGUGAAGGAUUUACCUCUGUGAGAGCAGGGUAGCACACAUAACUAUGCAGGAGCAGGUGAAUGUGCAGGUGGCACAGGAAGAGUUAGAUGGCAGCCUGUCUCUGCACAGCGAGGUUUGACUUGUCCUAGCUCUGCAUUCCCUCAUCCCUUAGAGGAAGUUGGUUUCUUCAGAAGACUUAAAUUUGUGGAAUUCAGUAGAAUAUUAUCCACAUAAUGUUCCCAGUGAAUGCCUGCAAAAGCAAGCGAAGCACGCUAUCUGCCUGCAUGAGCCCCAUGUACCUGGCGUGGCCUGUGCUCCUCACCGUGUGUCCCA
ensembl:lncRNA SNHG14 small nucleolar RNA host gene 14